GGGUCAGUAGGUUGGUCGUGCCACCGGUACGUACUGGUCUCACUGAUUCCUCCUUCCUGAAGAACCGUAAUGCCAUUAAUUUGGUGUUGCGGGGAAACAGGACUGUUACUUUGAAAAAAUUAGAGUGUUUAAGGCAAGCUAACGCUUGAAUACAUUAGCAUGGAAUAAUGAAAUAGGACGAUCGAUCCUAUUUUGUUGGGUUCUAGGAUUGACGUA
rnacentral:rRNA from 1 species